AAAUGAUGAUGAUGAUGAUGAUGAUGAUGAUGAUGAUGGUGAUGAUGGUGUGUGUGCAUGUGUGUGUGUGUUUGUGUAUCAUCAUCAUCAUCAUCAUCACUGUCAUCAUCAUCAUUUAAC
rnacentral:pre_miRNA from 1 species